GGAAGCUGCUAGCCGGCAAGCUGAGAAGAUGAGAAUGAAGUUGGACGAUCCAUAUAUGAAAGAAAUAGAGAACUAUGAAUCAGUCCCAGAUUUGGUGGAUCAGCUCGGAGGUAGGAACUUGAAGCUGAGUGAUCAGGCUAUGACGGCUCUUACCUUUGAUGUUCUCAUCAUAGUUUUCGCUAUUUGUUGCAUCAUUUAUGUGAUUUUCU
rnacentral:misc_RNA from 1 species